CCUUGGGUGGCCCCGUGGUUAAGGACUCAGCAUUGUCACUGCUGUGGCACAGGUUCUAUCCCUGGCCCAGGAA
rnacentral:tRNA from 1 species